CCUACGGGGGGCAGCAGUAGGGAAUAUUGCUCAAUGGGGGAAACCCUGAAGCAGCAACGCCGCGUGGGGGAUGAAGGUUUUCGGAUCGUAAACUCCUUUUGUUAGAGAAGAUAAAGAAGGUAUGUAACGAAUAAUCACCGGCUAACUCCGUGCCAGCAGCCGCGGUAAUACGGAGGGUGCAAGCGUUACUCGGAAUCACUGUGCGUAAAGAGCGCGUAGGCGGGAUAGCAAGUCAGAUGUGAAAUCCUAUGGCUGAACCAUAGAAGUGCAGUUGAAACUGUUAUUCUAGAGUAUGGGAGAGGUAGGUGGAAUUCUUGGUGUAGGGGUAAAAUCCGUAGAGAUCAAGAGGAAUACUCAUUGCGAAGGCGACCUGCUAGAACAUAACUGACGCUGAUGCGCGAAAGCGUGGGGAGCAAACAGGAUUAGAUACCCGUGUAGUC
rnacentral:rRNA from 1 species